GUGACGGCUGGCUCCAGCCCUGUCUUAAUGGAUCUGUAGGAGAUGAAAGAUAAGACCAAGCAAAGUUGGCUAAGAAGCAAGGCUCCAACCUCUUCUUCUUGACCCCACUGCAGCCCUACCCCUUCCCUCAAGGACAGACAAGGAUCAGCCCAAGGACAGCCACAGGAGGGAGACAGAGCAAAGGUCAAGGGUAUAGUGAGCUUGCUUUGAAGAGCAAAACAGAGAAACUUGGGAAAGGCUGGUUUUGAAAGAAGAGAUCUCAGGAGGGCUAAUGCUUACAACAUUCAAGGUGACAGCCAAGGGUUUAUUCCAAAGACAGCAGGGAGCUGACACGAAUGCUGCAGAAAGGUCUGGAUGGCCAAAAGGGAAGAAAAGAGGAGUAGCGAGGACUGCACAGAGAGGACAGCUGCUGAGGGCCAAGCAGCCAGAGGCUGAGCUGGAGACGCACAGUGUCUUCAGGAGGCAGAGGCGGACCAGAAGACACACACACACACACACACACACACACACACACACACGGAUGGAGGAGCCCCCGUAAGAGACCGUGUGGGCAAGGGACAUCUCCAGGAUAAGAAGUCGAUGGAGCCCCGAUGGUCAUCAGGGGAUUCAGAGGCAGAGAUGAAUAAGCAAACUGCCCUCCGUGUGGGACUAGCCCGAGAUCAUCAUUUGGGCUAUUCCCCUGAAGUCAAGCAUGAAAUCUAUUUAGCCGGAGAGCUACCCAUUUCCUCUGACCUGCGGAAGAGAUGCCCUGUUCUUCCAGAAUCCCCGGAAUGCCAGAAUCUAGAGAAAACUGCAGCCACAUGCCUGGGCCCCUUGAGAUCCUCCCUCCCUCACCCCCCACACCCAAGAACAGAAUAACAAAGAUGGAGCCGACUUUCAGCACCACCCAGCCUAGAGGCGUUGCUGCUGGUUGAUCAGCAUAGGUCACUGUGUGACUUGAAGUUCCUAAGGGUUUAAGAGGGUCUCUUGCCAACAAGGGUUUCUCAGCCUUUUUUUUUUUUUUUUUUGUACCUGGGACCUUUCUGGCAGUUGUGUGAAGCCUAUAUAGACUGCAGGUCAGAAUGUUUUAAAAUGCAUAAACCAGGGGCACCUGGGUAGUUCAGUCAGGUGUUUGCCUUCCACUCAGGUCAUAAUCCCAGGAUCCUGGGAUCAAGCCUAUACUGGGCUCCCUGCUUAGAGGGGAGUCUCCUUCUCCCUCUCCCAGUAACCCUUCCCCCUGCUCCUGCCCUCACGUGCUCUCUCUCUCUCUCAAAUGGAAAAAUUAAAAAAAAAUGCAUAAGCUAUAUUGAACUAAGUUUAUCAGAAUAUUUUUUAAGAAACUAACUUGUGAGACAGUAUUAUAUUUAACCCAUUAAAUGCGAGAUUUACUGGUGGGUCUAAUAACAUCUGCCAUAUUGAAAUAGUGAUGAGUGUGACUAAUCAGCUAGCAUCAGCAACUCUGUGACAUGAAGGUAGCUGUGAUUUCUGUUGGUGACGGAGGCAUGGGGAACCGCUAGUGUUGCCUUUUGUUGUCCAUAUUCAAAAUGUAAGGAAUGGUUAAUUUUCACAUAGAAAUGAAGAUGCCAUUUUUUUCACGUCCGAGCUUAUGGGAUUCUGUUUUUACUUGAUUGCGUUUCCAGAUCACUUCAUGUUCAAAUGAAGUAGCCCUUAGAAGGAGGAAAAGGGGCAGGCUAGUAGUACAUUAGAGAUAUGCAAUAUAAUGGUCAUUUGGCUCCAUUUUGACUGAAUUAUAUUGGGCCCCCAUUUGGAGUUUAAAUGUUGAGCCUAUGAUAUUGGGUCUUGGUCUUGAGGUGAAAACUAAGUUUAUAACAUAAUCCAGGAGAGUGGAGAUCUGGAGAAUUGUCCU
rnacentral:lncRNA from 1 species